rnacentral:lncRNA from 1 species
GGUGGGGUGAGUGCCAGGUGAGGCAAGAGCAGAGCUGUCGGUCCCUGCUGCCAAGUGCCCACUGUCUUUCCUUCAAGGUCCCUUUUCUCUUGCCUCUUUUCUUUUAUCCUAUCUUGGUUUCAAGUCCUCUUCCUGCCUUCCAUAUCAAGACCCACAGCAAGGGGCAACAGGCAGCCAAGGCCAGGGGAGUGUUAGGGCAUGUUCGGCGGCCACUGUGGGGAAGGGCUGUUCUCUCCCUUGGUCUCCCCCAGCUCUGCUUCCAGGGUGUUCCAUGAAGCUACAAACAGUGGAAAGCAAACCUGCUCACCUCCCUAUGAUGCUUUCUGUCCUGUGAGAGGAGCAUCCCAAUAUCCUGGUUUCUGCAGCAGAGCCACUCGCACUGGACCUUAAUAGAAGGUACUUGUCGAUGCUUCCCACACCUGCACAGGACAGGGUGUCACCACAGGGACAGGCUUCCUAGGGGAAUAGUUAGUUUGCCCAGAGCUUGGAUUAUUUCAUGUUUCUUUCACUUCAUGUUCUCUCUUCUUUGUUUAAAUAAUAUCUGUCUUUAUUUUUUAAUAAGCAAUCAAUUUAUAGUAUCAAAAGUUUGAAAUUCUAAAGAAUUUAUUAUGAAAAAUCUCCCCAUUCUCAUACCCUCUUAAGAGUCAACCCACAUAAUCAGUUUACAUCAGAGAUGUUUAAUGUAUUUAC